rnacentral:rRNA from 1 species
UGGGGAAUAUUGGACAAUGGGCGCAAGCCUGAUCCAGCCAUGCCGCGUGGAUGAUGAAGGCCCUAGGGUUGUAAAGUCCUUUUAACGGGGAAGAUAAUGACGGUACCCGUAGAAUAAGCCCCGGCUAACUUCGUGCCAGCAGCCGCGGUAAUACGAAGGGGGCUAGCGUUGCUCGGAAUUACUGGGCGUAAAGCGCACGUAGGCGGGUCGAUAAGUCGGGGGUGAAAUCCUGGAGCUCAACUCCAGAACUGCCUUCGAAACUGUCGAUCUUGAGUUCGGGAGAGGUGAGUGGAACUGCGAGUGUAGAGGUGAAAUUCGUAGAUAUUCGCAAGAACACCAGUGGCGAAGGCGGCUCACUGGCCCGAUACUGACGCUGAGGUGCGAAAGCGUGGGGAGCAAACAGG